rnacentral:rRNA from 1 species
UACGUAGGUGACAAGCGUUGUCCGGAUUUACUGGGCGUAAAGAGCGCGCAGGCGGUCGUUCAAGUCGAGUGUGAAAGCCUCCGGCUCAACUGGGGAAGGUCACUCGAUACUGAUCGACUCGAAGGCAGGAGAGGGUAGUGGAAUUCCCGGUGUAGUGGUGAAAUGCGUAGAUAUCGGGAGGAACACCAGUGGCGAAGGCGACUACCUGGCCUGUUCUUGACGCUGAGGCGCGAAAGCUAGGGGAGCAAACGGG